rnacentral:rRNA from 1 species
CCCAAAUAAAUGGGGGGAUUAAAGAGUUUGGAAAAGAUUUCGGCUAAUACCCGGCAUACCGCCCCUACGGGGGGAAAAGCAGGGGGAUUGUAAGACCCUUGCGUUAAUGGAGCCGGCCGAUAUCUGAUUAGCUUGUUGGUGAGGUAAAGGCUCACCAAGGCGACGAUCAGUAGCUGGUUUGAGAGAACGACCAGCCACACUGGAACUGAGACACGGUCCAGACUCCUACGGGAGGCAGCAGUGGGGAAUUUUGGACAAUGGGGGCAACCCUGAUCCAGCCAUUCCGCGUGAGUGAAGAAGGCCUUCGGGUUGUAAAGCUCUUUCGCAAGGGAAGAAAACUUAUGAUCGAAUAAAUCAUGAGGUUGACGGUACCUUGAUAAGAAGCACCGGCUAACUACGUGCCAGCAGCCGCGGUAAUACGUAGGGUGCGAGCGUUAAUCGGAAUUACUGGGCGUAAAGCGUGCGCAGGCGGUUUUGUAAGUCGGAUGUGAAAUCCCCGGGCUCAACCUGGGAACUGCGUUCGAAACUGCAAGGCUAGAGUGUGUCAGAGGGGGGUAGAAUUCCACGUGUAGCAGUGAAAUGCGUAGAGAUGUGGAGGAAUACCAAUGGCGAAGGCAGCCCC